GAGUCGGUUGCCCCCUGAUGCCACACCCACUGUGUCUGUCGUUGACUCCUCCCAUCACAGUCUAUAAAACGUUUUAAUCACGUGUACAUCACAAACAAUAACACAUUAUUCGUGGACUUAAGCAAGAAGAAUAGUGUUGUAAUUUAGCACAACAUAUGUUAUUGUGAAUAUUACAUUUUUGAAAAAUGUCUUCCAUUUGUUAAACAGCUACUAUCUAACAAGAAAAUAAAAAUAGUAGAAUGUGGUUAAUUCUAAAUUUGUGGCAAUGGCAUUUUCUUUAACAGUUUUACAUUAAUGUUAAGCAGCCAUUAUUUACACAAGAAAAUAAAAGUACAGGGUCAUAGUUAACACAUUAAGUUAAUAACUAUUUUUAGAGUCUUUCAAAAAAAAUUUUAUUAAAUGUUUUCUCUCAUUUUCUUGGUCCACAAACCACCAGCUCUUCCAGGAGUGUGAUUCAUGUGUUCCACCAUUGAUGCAUUGAAGUCAAAGCUGUUCGUGUGGGUCCAGGAAGGGUGCUUAUAUGUCUGGAUACCGCUGCACAAAUCUUUCAACCAUGAAAAAUGCAGUUCCAGCAUGUCUUCAAAUUCAGGACAACAGAAUGGUCAGGAUGAUCUGAAACAUAUAACCAACUGAAAUCAAUUUAAAUGUAUUUUGUCUUACCUGAGUGAUGCUGAAACAACCAGGUUUAGUUUUUCACCCAGGAUUCGCUGCUUCCUAUGGACCAGUCUUCAUGAUGAAUGAUCUCUUGAUCCUGGAUCCUUGCUGCCAUCCACUUGGAGAUGGUUUGGAUGAUAUGUGGUUGUGUCUAAGGGCAAGAGAAGAGAAUCUUCACCAACUUUCACCGGCAGCUGUUCUGCUGGAUUGAUAAGUGGGUGGAACUCAACAUGGAGGAUAUCAGAAGGAUGGAAGAGGAGACACAAAAAGAGCUGGAGGAGCUAUGUCUCAAACAGCACCACCAGCACAUGAUUUCCUGAAGUUCUGUCAAAAAAAAGACAGUGUAUGUCAAGUUUGGGGCGUCAGGGUGUGGCCAAAGGUUUCAUUGGUGCUUUGUCAUCGUUGCAGGAUUUCACAUGCAACCCAGUCAGUUCUUCCAAGGCACCAAACACUGGCUCGUGACCAGACUGCUCCACUGCAACUACAUACUGUGUGUACCUUCAAGACUAGGAGUUUACUGUUUUCAUUCCAGGUAAUAUGUGUAAAUGUUUAGAGUUUUUACUACAAUUAUAAUGUGCUUUACUGUUCUCAGUGGCAUCUACACUAAUAUUAGUCUGUUUCAUACUUAUUCCGAGGUGAAUGUAGCCACCCAGAUCCAGUCCGUAUCCAGAUCAGAUGGUGGAUCAGCACCUAGAGAUGACCUCGACAGCCCCAUGUCAGCUAGAUGAGCCCUAGAGACAGAUCCCCUCCAGUCUUGUUGGCCAUCGGGACAAGACCACGAGAACCAGACAAGUCCUCUGCUCAAUCUGACCUGUGUUGCAGUCUAAAAUUAAACCACGCCAUGCUGGUUUCGUCUGGCCAGAGGAGAACUGCCCCCCAACUGUGCCUGGUUUCUCCCAAGGUUUUCUACUCAAUCUUUGUCACCGAUCGAGUUUUGGGUCCUUGCCGCUGUCGUCUUUGGCUUGCUUAUUUAGGGGCGCUUGGCUGAUUGCACAGACAUUAUUGGAAGAGAACUAAACUGGAUGAUAUCAAUACUGAAUCACCAAUGAACAGACUUUAACUGGAAAAAUGACUUGUUAAUGUCCUCUUGCAUUAUUGACAAACUAUUUUCCUGUUUGACUCUGUAAAGCUGCUUUGACACAAAUCAGUAUUGUAUAAAGCGCUAUGUAAAUAAAGGUAACUUGAUUUGAUUUUAUAUACUGUAACACCUGGUUCAUUUUAUUAUGUAUUUUUUAAUUUUUUUACUUCUACCUCAUUUUAAAGAUAUAAUUGUGAACAGUAAUAAUAUUUGGAAAUGUUUGUUUGCUAACAUUUUGUUUAGCUUGUUUAGUUUAGUUCAUUAAACAAAGUUUAAACUGAAUUUUGCAGUUGUAUUACAGAUGUAAUGUUUGUCAACUGGAGCUUUAAAGGGAUAGUGCACCCAAAAAUGAAAAUUUGCUGUUAAUUUACUGACCAUACAAGAUGUAGGUGACUUUUUUUUCUUCAUUCCUGUAUGUUUAGUCUGUAUGAAAAAUGUUAUAAAUGAAGAUUGUUAUUCAUU